rnacentral:tRNA from 1 species
CCACCGUUGUUAUUCAACUACAAGAACCUA